rnacentral:misc_RNA from 1 species
UCUCCGUAGGUGAACCUGCGGAGGGAUCAUUACUGAGUGAGGGUCUCCGGGCCCGACCUCCAACCCUUUGUGAAAUCGACCGCGUUGCCUCGGGGGGCGAGUCCGCUCGUCCCCCGGUGGCCUACUCAAACUCUGCUUCAUCAAGCGUCUGAGUCUACUCGAGAAAUCGAAACAAAACUUUCAACAACGGAUCUCUUGGUUCUGGCAUCGAUGAAGAACGCAGC